AACGAACGCUGGCGGCAGGCCUAACACAUGCAAGUCGAGCGAACCCUUCGGGGUUAGCGGCGGACGGGUGAGUAACGCGUGGGAACGUGCCCUUUGCUACGGAAUAGCCCCGGGAAACUGGGAGUAAUACCGUAUGUGCCCUUCGGGGGAAAGAUUUAUCGGCAAAGGAUCGGCCCGCGUUGGAUUAGGUAGUUGGUGGGGUAAUGGCCUACCAAGCCGACGAUCCAUAGCUGGUUUGAGAGGAUGAUCAGCCACACUGGGACUGAGACACGGCCCAGACUCCUACGGGAGGCAGCAGUGGGGAAUCUUAGACAAUGGGCGCAAGCCUGAUCUAGCCAUGCCGCGUGAUCGAUGAAGGCCUUAGGGUUGUAAAGAUCUUCAGUGGGGAAGAUAAUGACUGUACCCACAGAAGAAGCCCCGGCUAACUCCGUG
rnacentral:rRNA from 1 species